rnacentral:rRNA from 1 species
GAUCAUGGCUCAGGACGAACGCUGGCGGCGUGCUUAACACAUGCAAGUCGAACGGGGGCGAUAGAGAUAUGCCUAGUGGCGGACGGGUGAGUAACACGUGAGCAACCUAUCCUAUACAACGGGAUAACACAGAGGAAAUUUGUGCUAAUACGGUAUAAGACCACACUCCGGCAUCGGAGAGGGGUAAAAGCUGAGGCGGUAUAGGAGGGGCUCGCGGCCCAUUAGCUAGUUGGAGAGGUAACGGCU